CAGCAGCCGCGGUAAUACGAAGGGUGCAAGCGUUACUCGGAAUUACUGGGCGUAAAGCGUGCGUAGGUGGUGGUUUAAGUCCGUUGUGAAAGCCCUGAGCUCAACCUGGGAAUUGCAGUGGAUACUGGGUCACUAGAGUGUGGUAAAGGAUAGUGGAAUUUCCGGUGUAGCAGUGAAAUGCGUAGAGAUCGGAAGGAACAUCUGUGGCGAAGGCGACUAUCUGGGCCAACACUGACACUGAGGCACGAAAGCGUGGGGAGCAAACAGGAUUAGAUACCCGAGUAGUCCCUGUCUCUUAUAC
rnacentral:rRNA from 1 species